CGCGGGGUGGAGCAGCCUGGUAGCUCGUCGGGCUCAUAACCCGAAGGUCGCAGGUUCAAAUCCUGCCCCCGCCACCA
rnacentral:tRNA from 2 species